GCCGAUCAGUCAUGCCGCGUGAGUGAUGAAGGCCUUAGGGUUGUAAAGCUCUUUUACCCGGGCAAGAUAAUGACGGUACCGGGAGAAUAAGCCCCGGCUAACUUCGUGCCAGCAGCCGCGGUAAUACGAAGGGGGCUAGCGUUGUUCGGAUUUACUGGGCGUAAAGCGCACGUAGGCGGAUCUUUAAGUCAGAGGUGAAAUCCCAGGGCUCAACCCUGGAACUGCCUUUGAUACUGGGGAUCUCGAGUCCGGGAGAGGUGAGUGGAACUGAGAG
rnacentral:rRNA from 1 species